rnacentral:tRNA from 1 species
CGUCGGAUUGCGCGGCGCGCCUGCUGCUGACCCCCGCGGAGUUGUCGCCGUCGGCGCCGCCCGGGGUUCCGGCCCUCGACCUGACGGCC